GGUGACCUCUAGCAACAGACACCUGCAUUUCCAUGAAAUAUAGUCAUUGACGGAUAUGCACCAAAGGGGUGGAAAAUAGGUGAAAUCCAGUAUGUUUGAUAGAAUUAUAUUGCUAGAAUUCAAUCAGCCAAUCCAGACUUCGCUUGGGAAAUAGGGUUUGAAUUCAUGAAUUAUAACUGCAGAAACUCGAUGCACAAACCCAAUAUUGUUUCUUAAAUGCGGCUUUUCAUGCAAAAUAUUAUUUUCAGAAUGUGUUAACAAUUCUAAAGAGAGAUUGUAUUGCUGCUUGGAAAUAACUUUGAACACAUGAAGUUCCG
rnacentral:misc_RNA from 1 species